rnacentral:misc_RNA from 1 species
CGAAAUGCGAUAAGUAAUGUGAAUUGCAGAAUUCAGUGAAUCAUCGAAUCUUUGAACGCACAUUGCGCCCCCUGGUAUUCCGGGGGGCAUGCCUGUUCGAGCGUCAUUUCACCACUCAAGCCUCGCUUGGUAUUGGGCGACGCGUUCCGCCGCGCGCCUCAAAUCGACCGGCUGGGUCUUCCGUCCCCUCAGCGUUGUGGAAACUAUUCGCUAAAGGGUGCCGCGGGAGGUCACGCCGCAAAACAACCCCAUUUCUAAGGUUGACCUCGGAUCAGGUAGGGAUACCCGCUGAACUUAAGC